GCAGCGCGGCCGGGAGGCCCGACGUCUAGUGAUGGGGAACCCCUGGUGCUUUACGCCGCCAAAUCGGCUGUAGAGGUUGGAGCUGAUCCCGAGGCCUGGGAGUCGGACGCCUGCAGAGGGGAAAGAUGGAAGCGUGGCGCUGUGUGAGGAGGGGCUACGGCCGCUGUGUAGUGGGGAGAGGCCGAUACCCCAUGUUACCCCAUCACCAGAAGAGUCUGGGCAGAGACUGGACCACACCGUGGGAGAAUCUGCAGAGGUGUUGCUGGAACAGACAUAUUUCUAGUUGUAUGAGGUGGCCUGGACAUUAUUCUCGUGCUCCUUACCCGUACUUCAGUAGUAGGCAUUUUUCGCUAAAUUGGAAACCACCUUGUUUGUUUGAGUCUAGAACUCAGUUUCAGUCCUGGAACUGGAGACCUGACAACCUGAGCCAGACGUCUUUGAUUCAUCUCUCUAGUUACAUCAUGAACUCUGAGGGAGAUGAGCCUUCAUCAAAACGGAGAAAACACCAAGGCACAAUAAAACGGCAUUGGGAAUAUAUGUGUAAUCAUAAUAAAGAAAAAACGAAGAUCCUAGGAGAAAAAAAUGGUGAUCCUGUGUGUGACAACAGUGAAAACAAGUUUGACUUUUCAGUGAUGUCCUAUAAUAUACUUUCACAAGAUUUAUUGGAAGACAAUUCACACCUUUAUAGACACUGCCGGCAGCCAGUAUUACACUGGAGUUUUAGGUUUCCCAAUAUUCUGAAAGAAAUUAAACACUUUGAUGCAGAUGUACUUUGUUUGCAAGAAGUUCAAGAAGAUCAUUAUGGAACAGAAAUCAGGCCAAGUUUGGAAUCAUUGGGUACAAUGUAACUUUUAUGUUAGCCAGAUUUACUUUAUGGGUUGUUAAAGCAUAAUUUUCUAAAAAGGUGUGUGGUGUGUUUGGACUAAAAAUCUUAAGUUUGCAAAAACUUAAUACCUGUUUCAAAAGACCAGGAAAAGAUGGAGGUAUUUCCAAUGGAAACUCAGGGGUUGAUACAUAAUUUUAAUUCAAAUGGAAAGGUGUAUAAGAAUCUCUUAAUAGCUGCCUUUUUAGAAGCCCUGCCCACUGCCAGAUCCCGAAGAUUCUGAGCUCCAUGAGAUGUAGCCGUUCUGUCUAGUUCAUCAACACCAGUGAAUCUACCCUUCCUGAUGGAUAGAAGUUAAAAACCUGUUUGAUGAAUGAACACUUCUAGAAACAGGUCCUCUGAGGAAUGCUGCCUAUUUUGCACUCAUUCAUUCAGCAAAUACUUUUGGUCUACUACAGACCAAGCACUAUUCUAGGCAGUGGGGAUAGAGCAGUGAGUGAAACAGACAACCAGUCUCUGUCCUUGUGGAGCGUGUACUCCAGUGGCGCAAGGCUGAGGAUAAACCAACCGUAUAGGUGAACAGUGCAUUAGAAGAGCAGAGGAAAGGCGAAUGGGUCAAGUUUCGGUUUUAAGCAGAAUGGUCAGAGAAGGUAGCAUCUGAGCAAAGACUUGAAGGAAGUGGAGGAACGAGCCCUGGCUUGAGCAUUGCAGGUGGCCACAAUAGCAAAAGAAAGGCCCUGAGUUUGGAGCGCCUUAAGGCAGGUGAGGAGACUGCUGCAUGCAGAGUGGAGCAGAUGGGGAGGAGUUAGAGGCAUAAAGGUGAGAAAUAUGGGGUGGUGGGGAGGGGGGCAGGUUAUUACAAGGCCUUACUGUCUUUUCCAUGACUUUACAUUCUUAAGAUGGAAAUGAGACUGUGAUAAUGAACAUUAGCGUGUAUAACACUGAAGUCUCCCAGUAAAGAGACCUGUUAGACCCAGUCCCAGACUUUUUUUGUUCCAACAGUUACUAACAUCUGAUAUUUCUAAGGUUUUGUAAAAUACGCUUUGGUAAACACUGUCCAAAAAAUUAGCAGAAUUGUGUUUUGCCAUAUGUUUAAACUUUUUUUGCACGGCAAAGCACGGUUUUAGUAUAUAUAUAUUUUAAAAUCAUCUUCCUGUGAAAUUUCUUUCUUUUUUAUAGGCUAUCACUGUGAAUACAAGAUGCGGACAGGAAAGAAACCUGAUGGCUGUGCCAUUUGCUUCAAACAUUCCAAAUUUUCGCUCUUAUCCGUGAACCCAGUGGAAUUCUUCCGCCCUAAUGUUCCUCUGUUGGACAGAGACAAUGUUGGAUUAGUGUUACUCUUGCAGCCCAAAAGUCCCAGUGCUGCUUCUCCCGCAAUCUGUGUAGCUAACACACAUCUGCUGUAUAAUCCGAGGCGAGGUGAUAUUAAGCUGACUCAGUUGGCAAUGCUUCUGGCAGAGAUUUCCAGUGUUGCCCAUCAGAAAGAUGGCAGCUUCUGCCCCAUUGUUAUAUGUGGUGACUUUAAUUCUGUUCCCGGUUCUCCACUCUAUAGUUUUAUAAAGGAAGGAAAAUUGAAUUAUGAAGGACUUGCCAUAGGAAAGGCAGUGAUCUGACACAGACACAGGUGGACAAAACAGAGGUCCUAGUAACAGAUGAAAAAUUAUCUUCAAAUUUACAGCACCAUUUUAGCUUGUCAUCUGUUUAUUCACAUUACUUUCCUGAGACUGGAAUUCCAGAAGUGACCACUUGUCAUUCCCGAAGUGCCAUCACUGUGGAUUAUAUUUUCUAUUCUGCAGAAAAGGAAGGUGUUGCUGGGCAGCAAGGAGCUGGAGUUGCGUUGGUUGGUGGUUUGAAACUUCUAGCUAGACUGUCCCUUCUCACAGAACAAGACUUAUGGACUGUUAAUGGACUUCCAAAUGAAAAUAACUCUUCCGAUCAUCUGCCUUUACUGGCUAAGUUCAGACUUGACCUCUGACUCUUCUUUGAUGAUGUAUAUACUUUGCUUUCUCAUUUUUAUUCUUUUUCAAAUGAUGUAAAGUUGUUCUUAAGAGUUUGCAUGUUAUUUAUUUUUACGCUGUGGAAUUUCUGAAGAGGUUAUGUUAAAUGCUUGAAACAGCCGAAGAGACAAGUUUACAACAGUUUUCUUUUUUAAUAAUGAAAAAAAUAUUUUCCUGACAAGUGAGAUCUAAUUGCUCUUGAUUGUAAAAGAAUUGUAAAUAUUCUAAACUCCAGUAAAACUGACAGUGAUUUUUAAAAACAGUGCAGCUUCUUCAGUCCUUAUAGUAAAGAAUUUCAUUUCAUGUGUUUGGCAAGUUUUAUAAGUGGAUCCAAAAUAUCCGAGUUCAUGCAACCCACAGCUCAUUUCCCUUCCAGGAGGCCUGAAUGAGGAUCAUGUUUGUUGGGCGCAUCAUGUGUUUGUUGUUCGUUCAUCUCUGACGUCACUGGGUUGUUCACAAGUGACCAGCCGUUUCAGUUUGUUUGUUUUAGGCCUGCACUCGCGGCAUAGGGAGGUUCCCAGGCUAGGGGUCUAAUUGGAGCUACAGCCGACGGCCUCCACCACAGCCACAGCAAUGCCAGAUCCAAGCCGUGUCUGCGACCUACACCACAGCUCACAGCAACGCCGGAUCCUUAACCUACUGAGCGAGGCCAGGGAUCGAACCCGCAUCCUCAUGCUUCCUGGUUGGGUUCGUUAACUGCUGAGCCACGAAGGGAACUCCUCGUUUGUUUUUGAAGCGGCUUGAUAAUGUUUUUUGAAAUUGUACAAAUUGCUUAAUCCAUCAUAUUACUCUCCUGAGCCGUGUAAUAUGCUUGCAUUUUAUUAGGAAAGUACAUAGGUCCCUGUAACUAGUAGGAUGAGAUGCUUUCUACAGGCCCAUUCUCCAUCCUGCAGCAGACAUCACAGGAUCCCAAGACGGCAGAGACUGGCGUUAGGCCUAUGUUUCUCCAGUAAUCAUUUUAUUUUUUCUAUUCAGUUUUAAGAAAAGACCUGAGGGAGGGGGGAGAUUUUGUUUUACUGAACCAACCCUGUAGAAAUGUAUUAGGAAAACUGUAUUCGGAACAAAGUGGCAGCUAUAAGAUUAUUUUUAUUUUGCCUCAAAAGUAAGAGGAAGCCAGCAAAACUCUAGAGGGGAGAUAGCAACUUGGAGACCUGAUGCUUUAACUUUUUUGUUGUGGUUUUGUUUCUAAACGAUUUCCUUUUAUCAUGAUGCAGCAGUGUGACAUGGUGCUGACAUUUUUUAUAAAGAGGUAAAGAGCAGGUCAAAAAGAUCCUCCCGUUGGCUCUGCAUGAGGGUUUGAAUCAAAAAUUUAAAACAUAAGUGAAAAUUUCCUCUUUUUUAGACGUUGGGAUCAAAGAAUUAUGUCCAUUUUUACUCAGUCGCAAUUUUAUAUGGAAUUAUACUGAUUAUACAAGUUUUUACAGUGAAUUUUAAUAGAAUGCCUCAUCUUAAAUUAGAAAGCAGUAGUUACUUUAUAGUCUUAGACUUUCAAAGUUUUUCUACUAAUGUAUUUACUACAAUUAUUAAUAAAUAAGUAAACCAGAUGCAUAUCCCCAAAAGGCAUGUGGGUUAUAAAGACUUAGAGCCCUAGUAAAACUGUAAUAAUAAGUACUUUCACCUGUGUAAUGUCUCACUUUUUUUUGUUCACUUACAGUAUUAACUAUAGUUCUAAGGUUUUCCACAUUUUGUAGUGACAGUCUUCAGAAUAUUUAUUAUGUGUCCUAAUUAGUAGAUAUUAUCAUCAUCAAAUAAUAACAGCAGAUAGUGUAUUUGUUCCCUUUUAGUAUUGGGGAAAGAAAAAUGAUUCAUUAAUUAGUACUUCGUGUUGUGAGAAUUUCUUAAUGACGAACUUUAUAGGCAGGUGUUAUUGAUCAGCUAACAUCCCAGAAAACAUCUGUGAAAAAACUUAAUUUUUUUGUAUCCUAAUUAAUAUAUUGUGAUAUCAGGCCCUUUUCAUGUGCUUCACUUCAAUAGGGUUACUCCAUAAAAUUGCUUUCUACUUUAGCUUAUAGAAUGAAGUAUUAUUUUGUGUACCGAAGGCCAAAGGGUCGGUGUAAUCGUCACAGGUUUUUAAAGCUCCGCUAAAAUUAUCUGUCCCCUUGCCUUUACUUUUUUGGUCAGAAGAGUUGGUAACUCUGUUGGAGCCUCGUAUUCACCUGCCAGAAGCAAUUAAAUUUGGUUACUUGCUGAAACCAAAUCUCCCAGUCUCAAGAGCUCUGCUCUCCAAGUUUUAAAUGGAAAGGGAUACUGUGGAGUCAUUAUAUUUUUGUUUUACCAUAGCUUUUGAUGUCGGUAUGCGUGUUUGAAAUCUUAUCUUUUUUUGAAUUUAGCAGCUGUCUGCCUUUAAUCCUCUGCUGCUGUCCUAAAAAACUAAGAGAUCCAGAGAGUUCAAGGGGUUGGAGAAACAGACGUCCAGUCAGAUACACUCUGUCCCUAUAAGUUACCUAAUAAAUUACUGUAUGAGCACAUCUGUGCCUGGAGCUUUGUGGGAAGGAUCCUAAGCUGUAUGGCUGGCCUGUUGCCUCUUCCAAACGAUCGCAUUACCCUUUUCAGCCUUUAUUACUGAGGGUGAUGCCAAAAUAUAAGUGAAUUAAGAUACAUCAAAAUAGAGUGAUGUUUAACAGAGUCUGAAAAUUGUGGAAAAAGACAAGGGUGAGAAAAGUGAAAAUUAAUUCACUGGGACAAGUAUAUGACAAGAGGACAGGAAAAAAAAAAUUGCAAGAAAAACAAUCCUUGAGUUUCCAGGAUGGUUUUAUUAAAGUCCCAUGCUGUGUAUAAACAUACAAGUGAUGAGAAAACCAUUAACUUGAAACAUGCACUUAUCUGGCAUUCUCUAAAAUACCAUUAUACAAGUUUUCAUUUACUUAGAAAAAUACCCACUAAAACAAUCACAAUUUUUCUUAGAAGAGUUUAAAAAAAUGUAUUGGCCAGAACAAAGUCCAAGAGAGUAAUAAACAAGAUUCUGAAUUGUAUGUCAAAAAAACUGUACAAGGUUGUACAUAAAACUAUAGCUUACAAAAAGCCUUGGGUAUAGUAAGAAUACUGAAUUAAGAUUUCCAAAGUUCUAUUUACCAAUAUCUAUUAAUAAAAUCCUUAUGAAAUAACUGACUUAGAAAAAGUGAAAUGCUCAUGACCUCAGAGAGUAUAGAAAAUACUAAAUAUCACUUUCUGAAAUAAAGUGUACUCGAAACAGCACAUGUAGUCUAGAAUCAGAAUUUCUGUCAUUCAUUUAAACUUUGCAUGUAUUGCCAUAAUGCCUUAAGCAUAAAAUUUCUCUUGCAUGAAUAACUUUAAAAUAAGAUGUUAAAUCAUUUCAUAGUUUUUUUAUCAUUUGAAUUAUAGCCCGUUUUAAAAUCAAUUCUAAGGGGUAAAAUCAUGUUACGGGUUAUUUUUCUGGCCUUAUUAUCGACUACUUCAUUACAAUUUAGGAGUUUGGUACCUUUUCAUAUCUUUUAGAAAUUAACAUUUCCGUAAGCAAUAAAACCAGAAUAACAACUAAGAACAUUUUCAACUAAGUUUUUGGUUUCUCUGACUAACUCUUGCUUUGGGGAAGUGAAUCUUCAAAUCAGGAAGUGAGUGUGGAAGAAAAAAUCAGGUUGCUAAUUGAAUCAUCCAGCCAGUUGGAAUUUUGACAGCUUCGACAUCAGCGUGUUAGAAACAGCUUGUAUUCCUAUUCUUCCCCCUUUCCAAGGGGAACAAGAGACUGCAGUCUCUAUUUUUGGAUCGGACGGUACCUAAUCCUUGGAAAAUCCUAUUCUGAGCUCUUAGAACGAUUGCAGUGUUGAUAAGUAGUCUACUUAUUGGCUGUAAUAAAUUUUCAUAUUGAUAAAGGUCUAUCUGUAUAGAUGGCUCUCUCAUAUUUCAUCUGGACAGAGGGCUAAGACGGUAUGCUGUAGAAUGAGAAUAAAGUGAUUCACUGAUGACUCCAAACAUCUACAUAUAUGCGGCCAUGAGACCCAAAGACAACUCAUCUUAAACUCUGGUAACACUCUUCUCCAAGAAAGUGAUGACGUUCCAGCUUUUUAGCAUCUGCGUAUUUUGGCCUGAUGGAGACGUACGCUUGCUUGGUCCUUUUUCAUGUAAAGGACGUUGGAGCGCCUUUUUCAAGAAAACUUAAUACUGUUGAGGGUAAAGUGAACUCAGGUGCCCAUGGCUGAAGGAUGAGGUCAUUUGGCUUUUCAUGUCACCCUCAGAGAUAAAGAAUCUCAAUGAGCAGAUUCUUACUUUUUUUAACUCCCUUCCCAAGUUACCUUCAGUUGAAGAAAGCCAGAGGGGCAGCACUGAGACUGAAAUAGCGCUUUUGUUGACCAGCAGACUCCACUUAAAUAGGCCUUCUGAUCCAUGAGUUGACAUGGCUACUCACAUCAAACAAGUGACUCAGAAGCUGACAACAUACAGACUCUGAAGGCCACUGGCGCUUCUGUGUGCUCUGCAGCCAGAAGUUACACUGGCACUACCCCGUGCAGGCCAGAUAUUCCUACCAGGCUUCGUGGACUCCAUCACCCUAGAAGGUAUAACACUGUACCUGAAGACUUUUCCAUUUAAAAAUAAGGUUCUGCUUUUCGACGUCUUCACAUUUUCUGAUACCAGUCCCUAAAUGUCAUGAAGCAGUACCUAAAAGCAAGGUACUGGAAGAUAACGACGUCGUGCCGUGUUUGGUCUUAAUAUAAGACAUCAGAGCCCAUCUCCAACAGCAGUGAGUCCUGCAGAAUCGAGGCCUGACUCAGAGUUUAAAAAUCAGGUGAAAUGUCAACAGAAAGUUCACCUGGUUCUCAUGACCUACUGAUUCACUCCUGGCCUCUGCCUUUCUGAGCGUGUUAUUGUCAGGUAAUCACAGUACCGCUCAAUUAGGGGCACAGUGCAUGGCCUUUUGUGCUUUUUGCUGGAGUCUGCAAAGUUUAAAUGUUAGUGACAGACUGUAGACUAGCUCCUGAACGUGCUUUUUUUGUUUUGUUUUGAAUGAACAAAAACUGCUGUCUGUGGAUGCUUUAAGAAAGAUUAACAAGUAACUCCAAGAUCCUGAAAAUGGUUUCCCGUAUUGCCAAAAGAAUAUCAGUGCUUUUUAGUAAAACACGUACAUGUAAUACCUUAAAUCUCAUCGCACAUGUGCACCAGGGGGAAAAAAAAAUCCAAACCUCGUGGAGAUCCCCAGGGGAAAUACUGGGGCAACAAUACAAAGGGGAUAUAAAAAAACAAAAACACCAUUAAGUUUGCAUAUCUGAUGUCAAGAUGCUGAGGUAAUAUUGACUGCUUAAAAAAAAAA